rnacentral:tRNA from 2 species
GCCCAGAUAGCUCAGUCGGUAGAGCAGGGGAUUGAAAUCCCCGUGUCGGCGGUUCGAUUCCGUCUCUGGGCACCA